UACGUAGGGGGCAAGCGUUGUCCGGAUUUAUUGGGCGUAAAGAGCGUGUAGGCGGUCUGGUAGGUCCGUUGUGAAAACUCGAGGCUCAACCUCGAGACGCCGAUGGAAACCCUCAGACUAGAGUCCGGAAGAGGAGAGUGGAAUUCCUGGUGUAGCGGUGAAAUGCGUAGAUAUAGGAAGGAACACCAGUGGCGAAGGCGACCAUCUGGACUGAUACUGACACUGAGGUGCGAAAGCGUGGGGAGCAAACAGG
rnacentral:rRNA from 1 species